rnacentral:rRNA from 1 species
GAUGAACGCUAGCGGCAGGCCUAAUACAUGCAAGUCGAGGGGCAGCGGGGUAGCAAUACUGCCGGCGACCGGCGCACGGGUGCGUAACACGUAUGCAACCUACCUUAAACUGGGGGAUAGCCCGGGGAAACUCGGAUUAAUACCCCAUAAUACAUUUGGAACACAUGUUUUGAUUGUUAAAGAUUUAUCGGUUUAAGAUGGGCAUGCGUUCGAUUAGCUAGUUGGCGGGGUAAUGGCUCACCAAGGCUACGAUCGAUAGGGGGUCUGAGAGGAUGAUCCCCCACACUGGUACUGAGAUACGGACAGACUCCUACGGGAGGCAGCAGUAGGGAAUAUUGGUCAAUGGAGGCAACUCUGAACCAGCCAUGCCGCGUGUAAGGAAGAA